AACGAACGCUGGCGGCGUGGAUAAGACAUGCAAGUCGAACGGGAUUACUUCUGGUAGCAAUACCGGAAGUAAUUUAGUGGCGAACGGGUGCGUAACACGUGGGGAAUCUGCCGAGAAGUGGGGGAGUAGCUCGUCGAAAGGACGAAUUAAUACCGCAUAUGAUCAGUGAAGACAUCUUCGCGACAUCAAAGACCGGGGCGAACCUGGCGCUUCUUGAUGAGCCCGCCGGCCAUCAGCUAGUUGGUGAGGUAACGGCUCACCAAGG
rnacentral:rRNA from 1 species